GGUCGCGUGGCCCAAUGGCAAGGCGUUUGACUACGAUACGUUUCUAAUACGGUCUAUCAAAAGAUUGCGAGUUCGAUCCUCGCCGUGACCU
rnacentral:tRNA from 1 species